rnacentral:lncRNA from 1 species
AUGAAAACUGAAGCAUUAGAGAGCAAACCAGCUCAUAUAUUCCCUCUAAGGGAGGUACCUAUAAUGUCCUCAGAGCAUGGUAUAGUGAAUCUCAUGUUCCACAAAAAGUUUACACAGGCUGAUAUAGACAGUUUUAAGAAAAAUACUCCAUCAUAUGAAGAAGAACCCAUGGCAGUUUUAAAGCAGUUUAAGCAUUUAAUUAAGCUUUACAAUCCUUCUUAUUUGGGCUUUGAUAUCCUUAUGGAUGAAUUGUUAACAAAAAGGGAGAAACAGAAGAUUAUACAGAGACUUAACUACAGCCAGGAAGCAAUAAUUGAAACUAUGAGGCAAAAUUCCAGAUGCCCAGGAAUCUGGUCUAAAUUUGAACACCUAAAGCAGGAAGUAGGGAUUGGGUUGGAUACUUUAACAGAUGAAAAUGUAAAUCAUAUUUGCAGACAAUUUGUAAAAAAUGCAUGUCCUUUGGUCUGAAAUUAUUUUUGGAUUAACUGUCCAAAUUGGAUUGACAUGGGUGUUGAUGAAAUUAGGAGAAUUGCUAACUAUGUUUUCCACGAUGAGAAAUAUAGGCAAUCAGAAGAGAAAAAAAUGAUAUAAUUGAUAACUUAACCAUAGAAAUCAGAGAGCUUGAACAAAAACUGAAAUUCAAUGAAGUGCAAGAAAAAACAGUAGUUGCACUAAGAACUUAUAGACAAUCAGGAAAUAAUUACAACCCCAGACAAUACAGACAAACCCCAAGAUGUUUUCUUUGUAACAGAGCUGGUCAUCUCAUGAGAGAGUGCAGAUUUAGGGGAUAAUUCUUUGGACAAAGCUUCAGGGGAAACCAAGACAAUAGAUUUAAUUGCUUUAAUGGAUUCAGGCAAAAAGGAUAUAGAAAUUAUGGGUUUAAUAAUGGAUUUAAUAAUGCAUUCCAGUAUGGGAGACCAAACUACCCAAAUUAUUUUGAUACUGGAUGCUACCAUAAUUCACAACAAGUUACAGACCUGAAUACCAUGCAAGAAUAUAUCAAAGCAGGUGCUUGUACAAAAUAUUCCCAAAUAGCUGGUGGGAAUCCCCAAAAAGUUGAUAUACAAAAAGAUCCAACUUCAUUAUGAAAGUGUGCCAAGGCCUGUGCAGCGAAAAAUCUAGUAUAUGGAAAAAAUGGACUAGGAAAUAUGGGCAAUGGAAUAAAAACUAAUGAAAAUUAAAAAGAGAUUUCA